rnacentral:rRNA from 1 species
UAAGCAUGAAGCCCCCCUCAAGAUGAGAUUUCCCAUAGCGUCAAGCUAGUAAGAACCCUGAAAGAUGAUCAGGUUGAUAGGUCAGAGGUGGAAGCAUGGUAACAUGUGGAGCUGACUGAUACUAAUCGUUCGAGGACUUAACCA